rnacentral:rRNA from 1 species
GACGAACGCUGGCGGCGUGCUUAACACAUGCAAGUCGAACGCUGAAGCUCAGCUUGCUGGGUGGAUGAGUGGCGAACGGGUGAGUAACACGUGAGUAACCUGCCCUCUUCUUUGGGAUAACGCCCGGAAACGGGUGCUAAUACUGGAUAUUCACUGAUUCUCGCAUGGGGGUUGGUGGAAAGGUUUUUUCUGGUGGGGGAUGGGCUCGCGGCCUAUCAGCUUGUUGGUGGGGUGAUGGCCUACCAAGGCUUUGACGGGUAGCCGGCCUGAGAGGGUGACCGGUCACAUUGGGACUGAGAUACGGCCCAGACUCCUACGGGAGGCGGCAGUGGGGAAUAGUGCACAAUGGGCGAAAGCCUGAUGCAGCGACGCCGCGUGAGGGAUGGAGGCCUUCGGGUUGUAAACCUCUUUCGCUCAUGGUCAAGCCGCAGCUUUGGGUUGUGGUGAGGGUAGUGGGUAAAGAAGCGCCGGCUAACUACGUG